CUUUUCCUAUUUAGGAUGCUGCUGAGGGCUCCUAUCAAUAUUAUCUACAUUUGUAGUUUGUGGGAGGACUCCUAGAGUACUGUAGCUAGGGCCAUUUGAUGGUCAUUUGAUUGCAGCUGUUUCAAGAUUCAGAUUCCUACCAAUCUUUUUGGAUAAACCAGAUGGUUCAGCUGUUCCCACUUCCAUUUUGGUUGGUAUACAGAAUUGUUUGAGUGUUUGAAUAUCAAGAAAAAAUAGUUUGAGGCUGUCAGCUGGACUGAAAGGAGAACCAUGGGACCUUGACCCAGAUAUUUUUCCAGUCUGGUGCCUGGUCCAGUUUUAAUAAAACAAUGGCUACAAUCCAACUAACAUUAAUGGCUUCUGCAACAAUUUGUGGCCCUGCUCCUAUAAGAUGCUGCCUCUAUUUGUCUUUUUUAUUCAAUAGCAAUUGAAAAAAAUAAAGUAAAAUUCAAGAAAGAUGCUGAAGUGAAAUGCAUGGAUUGCUAUGGCCAUUCAACAUUUUGUUUUUUCUGUACUAUUUUGCUUUUGUGCUUUUUGGUACAUGGAUCUGUGUUGGGGUUUAUGAAGCUAAUCGGACAUGUUGUACACCUUCAUGUCUUUGUCAUGGGAAAAAAAGAUUUUGAGGGUCCUCUUUCAUGCGAUA